rnacentral:lncRNA from 1 species
AGAGAAUAUUGCCUGGGAGCACACCUGUAGGUCCUUCUGAACGAUGACGUUGCCAGGGAGAGAAAAAAAAAAGUUUUGUUUUUGGCAUUCUGGCCUGGAGCAUCUGAGAAACACAGGGUUUCCCCCGAACACCUGUUCUGUAUUUCCCAUCGGAGCGACUCCAGCGAAAAGCUGCGUGUUAAGACAUUAACUGCCCAAGGCUGUUUCCUUGGACUCCUUGUCUGUGAAAUGAAGCAAAACUACACUGCUUGGAUGGAGUGAGAAAAGAAAGAGCUCAUGGAGUGCAAGUGACUUUCCCAACAUUAUGGAGAGAGGAGGUGCUGUUACUGGUACCCUCCUAUGCCUGGUCCAAGGUCAGCACACUUAGCUGACUAAGCUCAGGAGGCAGUAAGCAGGCUCCUAAAAGCAGUUGGGGGCAGUGCAUGCAGUCUCUUCAUUGUCAAAACAACAGUAGGCUUCAUGCAGACAAAUAAGUUCUCGUAAAUACCUUGAAAGAACCCUGGAAAAGUCUUGGACCUGCGCACAGUGACAAGGCCAGGAGAAAUCCUUCACCCUGUCCGUCUUUACUUAGCACCUCCCAUUUUGAUGUGAAGUUUCUAGGUUUUGUCAUGGUCACUGUGGUUGCUAUAGAAACAGAGCAACAA